CACAGAACGACACCAUCCUACACACUUGCAGUUAAACAGGGGAGGACACGUUCACGCUGCAUUCAGUGCAGCUCAAGCUGGAGGCCAUGGAGAAGCAGAUUCACAACCUGGUGAAGAAGCAGGCCCAGCUGAGAGAGCGGAGAGCCGCACUGGAAACAUCCCUGGCUGACGAUCACAAGUCCAGGGCCUGGUACAACCAGGACACUAUCUUCCCAGAUGUCCUUCACUCCUGCGCUGGUACACUACGGACCCUGGGUGCACCUGCAGCGGAAGACAUGAGCCAGUGAGACUCCAUCGUCCGGCACGUCCAUGCUACGUUAGCCGAAGGUAAAGUGCACACUCACUGUUUCCCUGGUGCUCAUGUACCUGCAAUCCUGAAGGGAGACCGGAUUAUAAGCACCGGAGCGGUCAUGCUUCAUGCCAGGGUUAACGACACCAAGUUGCGGCAGACAGAGACACUGAAGAGGGACUUCAGGAGCCUGAUCGAGAUGGUGCGCAGCACAUUACCCGCAAUGACGAUCAUUGUCAGCACCGCUUCCCACGUAUCGACAAGGACAUGAAAGGUUCAGUAGACUUUUUGCUUUAAAUGAAUGGUUAUUAUAAUGGUGUAAAGAACAGAAACUGCUCUUUGUUAAUAAUUGGAAUCUUUUCUGGAAGCGUCCUAGGCUUUUCGCGCUGAUGGCCUGUGUGACGGGAGGAGCAAACGACAGACACAGUGGGCAUGGCGUCAGGCCUCGGAGAGGUUUUUAUUAACAGAAAAUAAGCCAAAAGAGGGAAUAAAGUGUCCAAAAGGGGAGGAGUGUCCAACACAACAGGGAAUCAGGUGUCCUCGUCGUGCUGCGGGGUUCGUGAGGGUCUGGCAGUGUUCACAGAGGGAAGUGUCCAGGUAUGGGGCGGAGUCCGGCGGUCGCACGCGCUCCCCUCUUGGGUCCGGGGCGCGAGGGGCGGCGGCUCCUUCUAGCGGCCGCAUCCUUCUCGUUGGCCGCGGCGCCUGCAGGGGAUGGACGGCCUGGCAUUCUGGCCUGAUGGCCGUAUAAACGGGUGCGGUCCUCAUCUGGACCGCGGGUCCGGCAGCUCACGUCUCUGGUGGCGCGGGAGUCCCUCAACGCACCCUUCCUGGAAUCACGAGGACACCAGUGUGCAUGCACGGGGAAGAGACCGGUCUCCCGAGGAGAGGCGCGUUGGGCUUUUAAACAGCGGCGGUGAUGAGGCUCCAUUUCCUUCAGGUGUGCCCCAUCACACGCCGCCAGCCCUGACUCGUCCAGCGCCCCUCCUCUCUCACACACCCACUCCUGUCGGGAGCCUGGUGAAGGGCGGUGAUUUAGGACGGGGUGCCGGUGAUUAUCAGGGAGGAGGCAGCUGACUCGUCACACCUGCACCCCAGCAGAGUCGGAGCAGAACUCCUGUAGGACAACAUCUCCAGGACACUACACUCCAUAUGACUAAUGAUUCCUGACCUUAAAAGCAUCCUAUUUCAGAAAUGGAUUGGAUUUUGGAUUCCCAAAACUAGGUAUCAUUACGACAAUCACAAGUGCAAUGCUGUACCAGGAGAGCCGCUGUGCAAGUUUACUACAGUACAUCAGAAAAGCCAUACAGUACAUGGAGCAGAUUAUGUGAUGCAACCAUUGCAAACCAUUCAUCAUGGUAGAAGUGUAAGGAACCAUGCAAAAAUAAGCCUUUAUGGUGUUUCACUGCCAGUGCUCAUUUCAGCUAGAAACUGCAGUUAAUUGUAUGUAUACAGUAAAUACAGUACAGUUUUGCAAAAAAAAAAGUUAAAAAAAAUUUUCAGUGAAUUUAUGUUGCAACCAACACAAAAUAUUGACAAGACGUUUCCCUCAAUUUUUCUUUAUUUCUUCUCACACAUCACAUAUCUCAUAUUUCAUAUCAAUCAUGCACUUUACUGGUGAUGUUGUUUUCUUUGGCAAAACAAAUACACUACACUGUAACAUUUCUAAUUAAUAGUGUAGUGUGGUAUAAACAAUGCCAACAAC
ensembl:lncRNA